rnacentral:misc_RNA from 1 species
UUCUUUCCUUGUGCUUCUGCUCAUCGGAUGUUUGAGUGCAGAUGGAUAUCCAUUCCGAUUGAGCAUUGAGAAGUAUAGAUUUGUUAAAAAAGAAAAAAAGAAAAAAAAAGAAAAAAGAAAAAAAUAUUUCCUAAAUCAAGUAAAUUAAUCAAAUAAACCAGCUAUACAAAUCAUUUUCAGAAACAAAAAAACUAUAUAUCGAACUCAAAAUUAAUUAUGCUUGAUGCACUAAAUGUAAUGCUUAAUUAAUUUGAACAAGAACUACCAAUUUUUGUAUACAAUUCUCUGCCAAGUUGCCUUGUGUGCAUGGCAUUAGAUUGCAAUUCGGAAUCUAACGUCUUUGGCUUUGGCACUAUGGUUUCAUUGAUAACAGGAUUUGAUGAACUGUCACAAAUCAGAAUUUUUCUUUUUUUUUUUUAAAUUUUACUGUCUACAAUUUCCCCAAUUUCUCCUUCAUCCUCAUCCUAUGGAUCAUCAUUCUAGAUUUCCUCUAAACUAAGAACACAACUAACAAUGUACUGUCAUAAAAAAGCGUAAAUUAUCAAAUCCAAGAGAUACUGAACACUUGUAAAAAGUUUAUUCAUGAAUUAAUCUUCUUAUGUAACAGAAAAAAUGUGAUUAAUUUUAUUUCAAACAAAAAAAAAAAGAAAUUCUAGAUAAUUGGAGUGGGUAUUUUAAAGAUCAACUUGUAAGAACAACUCCAAAAUCAUAAAAUAUCUAACAAGAAAAAUGAAAUAUAGAUUCAAAAGUCAGCAUAAACGAUUGGAAUAAGCUAAAAUUUAAGAAAAAGUUCAACAAUAAGUUAACAUUCUCAUCAAAAUUAUUGAAAGAAGUAAAAGCAAUGAUAAAAGUUAAUAUAUAAAAAAAAAAAAAAAUUGAGUACAGUCUCUCAAUUUUGCAGCAAUCCAUAAAUCUAAAUCUGCAACCAGCCAAACCUAGCUUGAAAAU